rfam:Schistosoma mattheei strain Denwood, Zambia genome assembly, scaffold: SMTD_scaffold0002667
AUCCAACUGACGAGUCCCAAACAGAACGAAACGCGCGUCCUGAAU